UAAGAAGCUAAGAAGGAGUAUAAGUAAUCUAGAAUCAAUCUUUACAGGUAGAGGAUACCAUGGACUGAGAGUAUCUUCAAAGAUAUUCUGGAUGAAAUUCACUCUGGAGCUAUUUGGCUGAAGAUAUAGAUUAGGUCAAAUCGGUUUCCCCCGUUAUAGGAAUUUGAGAGUGGACUCCAGUAUUAAGGGUUGACUGGAGUUAACCAGGGUGGUAACACGGCCCUCUCGUCCCUGUA
rnacentral:ncRNA from 1 species